rnacentral:lncRNA from 1 species
GCCACUUCUCCUCAUCGCAAUCGUCGCGGCUCACCAUCACACCAAUCGCCAUCGCCCCGACUCGUGGAUUUCAACGGCCCCGAGCUAGAGUCGCAGGCAGGACGAGGCACCUCAUCCCCUUCCCAUCGCCACGACCUCCAGUGCUCCACAUCUUCGACAACUUGAUGGGCAUGGCGCCGCCUGCGCCGUCUACUCACCGUGGCAGCAGCCGGCAGGAGGGCCCUUUUCCGAAAUAACCAAUGUGACAAUCAACAUCAACAAUUAGUAAGCCUUUGAUUAUAUUUCUCAUUUCCCGCUGGUUAUUGCAAUCGAUAUACUCCGCAAACAUUGUUGUUCUUCAACUGAAAUUUCCAUUGGCU